AGAGUUUGAUUAUGGCUCAGGAUGAACGCUGGCGGCGUGCUUAACACAUGCAAGUCGAACGGAGCCUAGCGAGUGCUUGCACUUGCGAAAGCUUAGUGGCGGACGGGUGAGUAACGCGUGGGUAACCUGCCCUAUACUGGGGGGAUAACAGUUGGAAACGACUGCUAAUACCGCAUAAGCCUACGGUGCCGCAUGACACAGUAGGAAAAACUCCGGUGGUAUAGGAUGGACCCGCGUCUGAUUAGCUAGUUGGUGAGGUAACGGCCCACCAAGGCGACGAUCAGUAGCCGGCCUGAGAGGGUGAACGGCCACAUUGGGACUGAGACACGGCCCAAACUCCUACGGGAGGCAGCAGUGGGGAAUAUUGCACAAUGGGGGAAACCCUGAUGCAGCCGACGCCGCGUGAGCGAAGAAGUAUUUCGGUAUGUAAAGCUCUAUCAGCAGGGAAGAUAAUGACGGUACCUGACUAAGAAGCACCGGCUAAAUACGUGCCAGCAGCCGC
rnacentral:rRNA from 1 species